AUCAUUUAAAGAGUGCGUAAUAGCUCACUAGUCGAGUGACACUGCGCCGAAAAUGUACCGGGGCUAAACAUAUUACCGAAGCUGUGGAUUGUCCUUUGGACAAUGGUAGGAGAGCGUUCUAAGGGCGUUGAAGCAUGAUCGUAAGGACAUGUGGAGCGCUUAGAAGUGAGAAUGCCGGUGUGAGUAGCGAAAGACGGGUGAGAAUCCCGUCCACCGAUUGACUAAGGUUUCCAGAGGAAGGCUCGUCCGCUCUGGGUUAGUCGGGUCCUAAGCUGAGGCCGACAGGCGUAGGCGAUGGAUAACAGGUUGAUAUUCCUGUACCACCUAUAAUCGUUUUAAUCGAUGGGGGGACGCAGUAGGAUAGGCGAAGCGUGCGAUUGGAUUGCACGUCUAAGCAGUAAGGCUGAGUAUUAGGCAAAUCCGGUACUCGUUAAGGCUGAGCUGUGAUGGGGAGAAGACAUUGUGUCUUCGAGUCGUUGAUUUCACACUGCCGAGAAAAGCCUCUAGAUAGAAAAUAGGUGCCCGUACCGCAAACCGACACAGGUAGUCAAGAUGAGAAUUCUAAGGUGAGCGAGCGAACUCUCGUUAAGGAACUCGGCAAAAUGACCCCGUAACUUCGGGAGAAGGGGUGCUCUUUAGGGUUAACGCCCAGAAGAGCCGCAGUGAAUAGGCCCAAGCGACUGUUUAUCAAAAACACAGGUCUCUGCUAAACCGUAAGGUGAUGUAUAGGGGCUGACGCCUGCCCGGUGCUGGAAGGUUAAGAGGAGUGGUUAGCUU
rnacentral:rRNA from 1 species